rnacentral:lncRNA from 1 species
AUAAACUCACUAUGAUAUUCCCAAUAUUUUCUUUAUAGGGACAAGAUCAAGACUAAUAGAACUUUCUAGAGACUGAAUGCUCUGAUCCUCUCUGUGAAGAAAGAUUGUCUUCUCCAAGUCAACCAGAGAAAUUUCUUUCACCAACUCUGAGUGUGGCACCAUAGUUAUUCCCAGUGCUUGAAUGUGUGUUUUCUCCACACCAGCUGGACCUUUUCAUGGAGCCCUUCCUGUAGUUACUUCAACCAGAUCUUCCACUAAAGUAGUAACUUGAGUAAUUUUUCAUGGUAUCUUGCUGUGAUGUGCUUGGUACCUGCCACAAAAGAGCACAGAGCCUCAUUAGAGCCCUCAUGUCCUCAUAUUCUCUAUCUCAAUAUGGUAGAGUCUGAUGUCUAAAGUCUUUGCAGAAUUUUGAGCUCCUUCCCCAUUCCAGACAUAGCAGAUCCUAUUAUUGUUCUUUGUGACCAAAUACCAUUUUGUCCCAAACCUCCUGCUUUGGCCUAGGGAAUCUGGAAGUGGAAGAUAUCAGCUGAGAGCACAUUUUGAUAAUUCAGUCCCAGGUCCUUUCCUCUCUCAUAUGCAUCCCUCCUUUCUCUGAUUUAGACUUUGCCUUUUCUAUCUAAUUGUAUUCUCAUUAUGCAGUAUGAUACUUUUCAUGUUAUUUGAUAUGUUGAUUUUAUUUUAAAAUUCAUUUGUAUACUACCAUUCCAUUGAUUAAAGCAUUCCAAAAGUUGUGUUGGAAUUUUUCACUUAACAGCUUGGUUUCAAAGAUCUUAAGUGAAAAACCGCCUUCUGGCCAAUAUCAAGCUUCUAAUGAGUGGAAAGUGGAAUUUUAUGCUCUGUGAAAGUAUUGCCAAUUUGAUACUGUACCUUUAUCAUAUUCCUUUGUUGUCUUCUAAGGAAUUGGAAGUUUGUGUGUAAUGCACUUAUCCAUAGGGAAAAGUUCUUUCUAGUUUAUUUUUUUAAAUCCUAUAGAUCUUCAUAAUUUUCAUUGUCACUAAUUUUAAUUUUAGAAUUAUAAGCUCAAUCUGAUUUUCAAAAUCAUUAUUUUUUGCUAGAAGUUGGAAGUGGAAAUUAGUAGAGGACUUGGGAUAAGGAAAGAGGAAUGGGGUUAUAUUUAACCUUAGUAAUAGAAGUUAUCUGAGAGUCCAGAUUAAAACCAGCAUUUUACACAAAUCUACAAGAUGUUUCUCUUCACUAUAAUUUUUUAUAUAUAUCAUGUCUGAUUUCUGCCCUCUUUUAUUGUCUGUAUAAAUGUUUUGGUCCAAUUUUUAAGUAUCAAAUACACUGAUUUAGAAGUUUUAACUUUGAAGUAUUCCUCCUCCUCUAGUCAUAUGAUAGUAACAGUGCAGUUGUCCCCACUGCCACCACAGUGGGGGAUUUUUCCCUGAGUAGAGUUGUGCUCUUGCCAGCUCCAUGUGGCUCGAUUGCAUCUCUGCCUCUCUUAGUCCCAGUGAAUCUGAUUUGCAUUUAUUUUAUUAUACCGUCGGAGUUCAUGGCACUUCCUUCAUCUUUAGAAAUAUCUCUUCUCUUCCAUGCUUAGAAGGAUCUCAUUAGAGAAGUCAUAUACAAUCAUUCAGGUAAAAGAAAUACCAGUGAUCUUGGCCAGAGAUCUGGGUCAGUGUCUUGGGAGUGGGGCUAUUCCAUGCAAUUAUUUUCUUGUCCUUUAAAAAAAACAUAGCUUCCUUAUAGAUAUUAAAUAGUAUAUCAGUACCUUACUAGGCCUUAAUUUCCAACCAUUUUCCUUUACACUUUCAAGUGUGUUAUCCUGUAGUAGAAAGGAGGCAACAGAUUUGGGUUGUGUUACUGCCUUGUUCAGGCAGAGUUUUUAUUGCUUAAGGAAUGUCCAUUGAAUGCUAUAUCUUUAUGACAACCACCACGUAAGAGAUGGAUAUGGAAAAUAUCGUAUAGAAAAAAAACGUAUUACAUUCCUUACACAUCUUUUUCAAAAGUAAAAAUUUAUUUUGACGUUUUUAAGGAUUUAAUAAUCAGUUUUUUACUAAAUAUACUUUGGGGAUUACUCAUAUCCAUCUGAUGCCUGUAAAAUCUGGGCUUCUCCUAUCUUCAUUUUCUUCAUUAAUAAUUUAAAUUUAUACCUUAAAAACCACAAGAACUGUUUAAGGAAUAUCUUGUAUACUUACAGUUUGUCAGCCCCUUUACCAAAGUAUUUAUUUAUUCUUUUUGUUAGUAUAAGCAGAUGGUCAGAUUUCUACAUAUAGGUUGUAAUAUAAAUAGACAUUGACCCCUUGUCCGCUGAAUUCUUCCCCAUUCCUCUGAAAUGCCUUCUCAUUUAUUCUAUUUUAAGUAUUUGGAGACCAUGUCUACUAUUUGAAAUGGUUCCUGGCCAUAGUAGGUACUUAAUAAACAUUCAUUGAAUCAAACAAUGAAACUGACAGCCAUUUACCUUGGUUGGUGGGGCAAUAUUUUUCUAAGUUCUUAAAUUAUCCUUGUCUCCACAUUAAUAACAGUUCAGGUCAGGAGAUGUGGAAAUACUGAAUUUCCUUUCUAUAGUGCUAAGAAGUGAUUUAAAAUAUAGAGGAAUGGCAGUAAGUUGAGGUGGAUCCACAGGAGUCAUCUGAUUCUUUCUUUGUCUCUGAAUAUAUAAUUUUGGCUCUAUAAUACAGGGGUUCUUUUCCUCCAAACAGUGACAUGGUUUUACAGCCUUGAUUCCAAAGAAAUUUCACAUUCAGCAGCUGGUUUGAUCUUUGUGAUGCCAUGCGGUGGACCACACAGGACUAUCUCUACUUUUCAUAUGAAUCCCAAAGUAGUUAAAUGGUUUGCCAAUGUGGCUUGGUAACUGAAUAGAAGAACCUAAGUUAGUAGUUGGGUCUUCUUGUUUCUGGAUUAGUGCUCUGAACAAUAUAUCAGGUAAUUAGCAUUAUCCCUUUUGAGGAAUUUCUUGGCUAUAUUAAUCCUCAAGGGUAAGCUCUAAACCAAAAAUUUUCUAUAAUACAAGGUAAUUCCACUCAGGAGAGGCUUUCUUUUGUGUGUGUUUUCAUUUUGGCAUAGUUAGUUAAAGGAGGUAAUCAAAUGGACUUGGCAGCUUUUACCUAGAAAGACAGGCAACCUAAAGUGUAUAGCUAUAGGUAAUUACUAGAGUUAUUUGAACUUAAUUCUAUUUUUUAAUGAAAUCAGUGCUCACUGCCAGCCAUUUUAUAAAAAGACUCCACAUUUGAGAGGUGAUGCUUUUAUCUUUUGGUAUGCCUGGAUUACAGCUUCAGUUAGAUUCUCUCACAUAUUUAUAAAUAUAAUUCUGUUGUCAUAAUUAUAAACAAUAACUUGGAUAGCUAUCAGAUUUUGUGGAUAACAUCCUUUCCCCCUGAUAUUUUUGGGAUCAUUACUUGUUGUCUCUAGCUGAUGGUGCUAAGGGGUCUUAAGUCCAGAUAGAUUUUUUCUUCCCCUUUUGUAGAUGGCCUGCUUGCUUGCCCUGGAAACAUGUGAUUCUUUGUUUAGUCCUUAAAAUUCAAUAGGUUCAUUUGAAUAUACCUCAGAAUUGAUAGUUGUCCUUUGGCUUUUUCUGGUACAUAGUGAGCAUUAUAUAUUGACAUUUCAGGCCUUACUGCAUUUUGUAUUGGUUUAUUCUAUUCUCUUUGAGAAUUUGUUGUUCUCUUGGCUCUCUAUUAUCUGUCCUUCACAUUUAUCUUUCUUUCAGUGGGUUUUACCUCCUUGUCUUCCUUCAUACUGUGAUUUUGUUUUUCAGAAGCCUUAUUCUCCAUUUCACUGACUCAGCUUUCUCUACUGAUGAUUUGGGGCCUUGUUAUUUAUAAUGUGGCUUUCACUUCUGUUAAGUUUAAUUUUUUUUAUGUUUCUUCCCCUGGGUCAUAAUAUUGUCCUUUUUUAUUUCUUAUUUCAAUUCUUGGAUGAACCAUUUUGUCUAUAUUUAUCAUGGUUUCUGAAAUCAUUCUUUAGAGUGUAUUUAUGUGCCUUUUGCUUUAUCUGUUAGACACUCUCCUGGAGUCCGUGGUAUGGGGUUGUGGCUUUUAUUAGUUUCAUUAUAGACAGCUUUUUGCUCAAUUUUUGGAUGUGUGUGUUGGAGAGCAGGAGCACUUAUAUAAACAUGCAUUUAUUCUGCCAUCCUUCCCAGUGGUCCAGGUGCUUAAACAUUGACUUUGAAGAUAAUGUCCUUCAUAAUCUAUAUGUUAGUAAACAGAAGGAACCAAUAUUGCCAGCAGGAAAGCACUUAACAACUUUAAUCAAUACAAGAUUUUUGUUUACUGUUCUGUGUGGAAAGAUAACUUUUAACUCAGGUUCCUGUUCCAACAAUUAGAGAUAUCAGUACCUUCUGGCUUGAAAAGAGGGAACAUGUGACAUUUUAAUGAACUUAAGUUAUUGGCCAUUGACAAUGAUUAAUUAGUUAAUUAAAUAUGACAGUAUGUUUCAAACUAGCAUGUAAUCAGAGUUGUCAAGAGAAGUAUAAGCUGUUUUUAUUAAUAGGUUGUAGUCAACUCGUCUCACUGCGACAGUUAACCCUUCUAAGAGCUUUGUUUUGACACAGGUUUUUUUUUUUUUUUAACCUGUCUUUUAAAUCAACCCAUUUUUUAAUGUGGUUCAUUAAGAAAUAAAAGGGUGUUAUGUUUUCAUCAGAAUUUUUUUGUUAUUUAUGAUUAUACAUUCAAAUUGUUUGUAGAUCUGGGGCCUAUCCUGGAAGCACAUAGUUUAAUGUUUCAGAAGUACAUCUGCAGGUAGAUCAUGGGGUAGAGUUUUAUUUGGCCUCUCAGAGAACUGAAGCCUCCUUGCCUUAGUGAUGAGCACACUUCACUAGAAAAUCAGCAGCAAACUUUUGUCACCUUCAGAGCUCCCACAUAAUGAUCAGGGAGUACAAGUGACAGCCUUGCUCUAUAUACCAAACUCCACUCAAGGCAAGGCAUUCUUAAGACCAGGGCCUUUGCCCUAGUCUGUGCUAUUGUAAAAUGGAGAAUUGAACAAGGUACCCUCAGGUAAAGGAGACUAAUAAAGUGAAGGUGGCAGACAGAGGAGUCAUGGGAAGAAAAAGUGUUCAAUGUUCAUUUAAACAAUAUCCAGGUUAGAAACCAUGUUAAGUAUGGGUACAUGGCAGUGAUCAAACAGAAAUCCUCACUCUGUGACUCAUGUUCUUGCAGAGAAGACAGUCAAGAAACAAAAUAAGGUGAUUUUAUGGUUCAAUUGGGAGAUGAAUGCUAUGGAAAAAAAUGAAAUGAGAGACAGAACCAAACCUUCUCAGGGUUGCUUUCAUCAUAGGCAGGUGUGUUCCUCAGAGGAGGAAGUGUUGGUGAUUUCUGGUUUCUCUGCUUUGUAUCUGUUGAUCUCCAUUUGGAGAGUUCAUCUUCUAUGCCUGGUUCUGUGCUCAGCUCUGUGGGGGACCCUGUUGAGGCCCUGCAUUGCAGUUUUAGGUAGACAAAGGGAACUGACCUGUUUCAGUCAUGGUUUUUCUGACCCACAGGGAGCAGCGGUCAGGUGAAAAGAGCCAGCUUUUACAAUCAAAUUUCACCAAAUGAUGUGAGCUGCUGUGUCCAAAAACACAAUUGCCACAGGUUCCAGAUACGUUUUUAGAACUUCUGAAAUCAUUCAGUAAUUGUUUAAAGCAUCUGGAUGCUGAUGCUGCACUUAAAAUAGCAGCUUGUUGAGAAAGACCCUAUUUAAUACUUCCAAACUCAUUUUAGAAGAGGAUUAAAGAAGUAUCCUAGAGGCUUCUCUCUGAAGUCCCCAGGAUAGCAUCAGCUGUUUGCCUCCCAAAAUAAGGCAAUAAAAAGACACAGAGCUCUUGAGAAACAUAUUUUCACCUCUCUGUCUCUAAAAUAGGGACAUGUAUUCCCUCUGAUCUCUGCGAUAGCCUUAUGGUGGUUAGGACGCAGGUUGUCACUUGGUGUGUGCCACAUGUGGCCCACCACUUUCCAUCAGAGCCAUGGUGGGGACUUUUAGUUCCUCACACUUGUCUGUCUUGUCGCCUUUAGGAUAGAGCUGAGUGACCCAGCAAUAAAUAGAAGGUUUAGCUGACUGGAGGAAAUGCGAUACACUUAUUUAUUCCCAUAGGCAGAGCCAAUUGGUCACCCUUUAAAUUGUCUUAUUUGCAUAUGAAAAAGAACAUCAUGGGAUAUCAUUUCUGAAAGCCACCAAACAAAUGUCUGAUAAGGUUAUAUGCCUGCAUUAACCACCCCCCCCAUCUCACAUUUAACAUCCUUUCAGUGUUUUAGCUAAGUCCAGAAAACAUCCUAUACAUGUGCAUUCUUUGCACAGAAAAUUCUAUCCAAUGUGGAGAAUUGACCUCAGGUCUCAGUAUCCUUUCCCGUUUUGUUGGGCGACUCCAUAAGCACAGUGCUUCCCAAUUCAAAGUGAUGAAGUCAGUUUUUGAUAGAGGUUAUUCUGCAUGUCUCUUGAAAAUGAUAAGAAGUAGUUUGAUGUCUGGAGUCCCAUGGUCCCCUUUGGACUAUUGGAAAUAUUUUUUGUUUGAUUUUUUAAAAAGUUAGAUAAUUGAAAUAGUAAAUCUGUGGUAAUACUAGAUCCAGGAAGCUUCCAGUUCUGAAAGAGUAUGAACUUAACCUGAAAAAUGUUUCUCGGUUCUAUAAAUCUCUCAGUGACAUUUGGAUUAAUCAAGUAUAAUUAAAUGUAGUUAGAUUUUUGUCAGAUUGUAGUUCAAAAUAAUAUUCAUCUAUGGAGAGGGUAAUAUAUUCUGUAGAAAUUUUAUUAAGCACUUUAGUUAAGCAAACACUAAGGAGAACAAAAUCAGCCUCAGGAAGGUUAAUUACUAAAAAAAACACAAAGUAUAGUAGGUUAUGUAAAUCACUUUAAUUUUGAAUACCAUGGCUUGAGCUUUAAUUUACAUAGAGAGGUAUUUUGGAUUUGUUUUUCACAUUUAUAUUUUCCAAAAAGAACAGAAUUACACUUGCAUUCUUUUAAAAAGUUCUAAUCAUUCUAGGAUUCCAUUAAGUUUGCUUAACUUUUUCCUAUUAUAGUUUCCAAAAGUGAAGAAUUACAGUUGCAUUCUAACUAAUUAUCUUAAGAUUCCGUUAAGUCAGUAUAAAUUGUAAGAACUGUAUUUUUAUUUCUGAGAGUUUUAAGAAAAGUAUCAAGCAAGAGAAUGUAUGUGAAAGUAUCAGCCCAUGUAUGACUUUGCAAUAAAUAUUCAUUUAAAAGAAAAAUGUUUAAAAAGGUAAAGCAUAAGAGUUUAGACUAUAAUGAUAAAAUUUUUUAUUUUAGUAAUUUCUUUAAAGGGAGGAGUAAAGAGAUUAAAUUGAUUUUAUAUGUAUAUUUUUUGUACUCAGAGAGUUGCAUUUUCACUCCACUUUCAUGUCUCAGGGAAUAGCCUUUGAUAAGAAUCUCAUGGGAAUCUCUGGAACUAUACCACAGUGUGUUCAGAUUUGAAUGUUGUUGUCUAAAUAUCAGAGCUAAAGUUUCAAAAGUAUUGUCAUUUUAGGAACAUGAGAUUACUCAAGAAACCUGAACUUAACCUUUUUUGUUUUUGAUAAUAAAAGACACCUACAUUUCCUUUGUCUAGGAGGUAAACAGAAGUCUUUUUAUGACACAUCUCUGAGAUUUUCUUAGAAAACCCCCGUAAUUUGAUUUUGUUUGAUAGUUUGCUUCUUGACUUUUCAAUGAGGAUUCUUUUCCAUUGGAACAGACUCCUUUUGGGAUAAUAAACUUACGCUUAAAAGAAUAUUCUAUCAAGUAAUUCUAACUUCUAUUGACCUAGAAAUGGCUUAUUAAUUUAAAUUCUCUGGAUAACUUUCUUAAGUGGGCCAAAACAGCACAAAUGUCAAAGAUCACAUAUGUACUAAGCAAGUUUUGCCCUGCAUUUAGCAAGGUAAACAUCAAACUCUGGCAUUUAGGACUGAUUUAACUGCUCUCCAGUUCAUCUUUGCCUUCCAAAAUGAUUGAAAAUGGCAAACUUAGAAUGGAAUGCAUAUUAAUAACAAAGCUACUUAAUGUUUAAAAUAUUCUUACCUUGUUGGGCAUGGUGGCACAUGCCUUUAACCACAGCAAUUUGAGAGGGUGAGGCAGGAGGAUCACAUGUCUGAGGCCAGCCAUGGUAGCUUAGCAAUACCCUGCCUCAAAAUAAAAAAUAGAAAAGGGCUAGAGAUAUGACUCAGUGGUAGAGCAUCCCUAGGUUCCAUUUCCAGUUACAAAAAAAAAAAAAAUCUUGAUCUUUUUGAGAGAGGGAAUGAAGAAUCUUAACAUUCAUUGCUAACUGUUUUGGCUGUUCAGAUAUGCUAGACAUUAACAAGGAAGUUAAAAAUUAAAUGUGAUUACAAGUCAAAGGUGUUCACCAUUUUGUCAUGCUAAAUGAUAUGUCACAAAAGGAGUUUGUGAAAUCAGGAUGAAUAAAAAAUGUUACAUUGUUUAAAUCAUGCCAUCCAUUUCUCAUAAACUCUACUUUCUUUUUGUCAUUGAACUUUUAUAACUGCCAGAAAGCUCAAUCUGUAUUUUAAAAGGCACAAUGUAUUUUCAGUAAGAUCUGGCUUAUGCCUUAAUCAUUAAAAAUGUUGAGGUUAAUAUCCUACCCAUUUAAUUAGAAUGUUUUAAAAUGUUUACAACUAAAGCCUAUAACUGUAGGGAUCUAAAGACUUGAGACCACCUGCCAUUGAAGAGGGACCAGGCUGACUAUUUUGGGCCUCACUUGCUGAGUCCUCUCAGGAGGCAGGAUUUUCCCAGCUGUUGUAACUAGCAUGAAAAACAAAAUAGAAGGAACAUUACAAAGUCCUGUAUCUGUUCCUUUUUUCCUUGGAUACCUAUGUAACUCUUCUUGGGGAAGAUACCACAUGAAUUCCUUUGGUAUCUUGUGUUUCACUUUGAAAAAAUUUCUGUUAGAGCUCGUAUGUACUUUUGACAAAUUGUGCAUAUACCUACAAUUUUUUUUAAGAUUAAACAAAAUGUACCUUGACUCUUGAGUGGAUAGCCAAGGCAAGGUUUUCCUAGAAAAUAUAAAGCACUGAGUUAUUUAAAAAUUGCAGUGGACUGAGCUGGGGAUGUAACUCAGUGGUAGAGCACUUGCCUCGCUAGCAUACUUAAGGUCCUGGGUUCAGUCCCCAGCACCACAAUAAAAAAAUUGCAGUGGACUUUAUUCAAUGUUGGAAGAAUUGAGUUCUACUGCUUCUUUCAUUUCUGGUCCAUUCAUUGUUGCAAUCCUGCUUCUUUUUUCUUGUUCUGCACUAGAACUGAAUGUUGUGCUUUAAUUAGAAAUGAGUUGUGCUUGAGUCAGUUCUGGACAACAUGACACAUUUUUAGAAGAAUGGAAAUACUGCUUUAGCAUCCUGGCUAACCCUAAUCUCUGUAGAGUUCCUUGGGUUAAAAUCAUUUGAGGUCAUAAUUGUUGUUUAAGAUUUAUGUACACACCAUCUGCUGCUCUUAAGUUCACACACUCAGAAAAGUAUGUAAAUGCUUGAAAUUUAAAUAUUUUUCAGAUUUAGAACACGACUUGUAAAUGCCUAGUAAAUGCUCAAACUGAAUAAGAAAGCCAUCAUGGAAUAAAAUAUACCUUUAUGUACAUGUCUAAUGCUACAAAUUAAGUGAAAAAUUUCUUGCUUGGACAGUUUUUCAUCAUAACCCCUUAUAAAACUGGUGUCCAAAAUGGGAAUUAUUGCUGAUUUGAUAAGAAAAUAAUAUUAAAAUACAUGAAAUAAAUGUUCAUUACAAUAUUUGUACCAGUAAGUUCAAAUCUGACCUGUUCACUUUGUGCCUCUGUCAGCUUAGUUACAGUGAUAAAUGUACACACAAUAUCCUGUGUUUCCAGGCAACCUUGUGGUUUGUAGACUAAAAUCCAGCCCCCCAAGUUCUGUGCUGUUCUGUGGCCUGGCUGGUACACACUGUCAUGAGUGAAGAAUGACUUUGGAUUGGGUCAUUUGUCAUUCCAUGUUCCGUGAAGAAAAGUGUUUUGUUGUGAUUGUUGGAAAAACAACCAGAAAAGUGUAUGGCUCAGAUAAUGUUCCCUGUAAAUUGUGGAACAAUCUGUAGUGUCCAUCAUAGCCAAACUAGUCCUGGAGCACAUGGACAAUUCUGUACCCCAAUAAUCAGAACAAUAAAAUGGUAGUUGUGAUUCAUAAUGUGUCAGUGUGGUGUUUAAUGA